CAUUUAAAUGUACCCUUGUAUAAAAAUACGAAUAUUCUCAUUAUCCCUAAAAGGAUAAAUGUCUACACUCUAGGGAUCUAAUUUUCACUUGACUUGAGAGCAGUGCUUAGAUUUGGGCCUUUGUAAACAGAGCUGUCAACAUCUGGAAGACAACACUUAGAAUAUCAGGAAAUUCAAAUACAAGCACAGAGAUCUGUGAGACUAUAAAUGGAAGAUAUUCAAUAAUGCAAUGCAUAAGAAGUUCCAGAUACAAUGCCCAGGUGAACAGUGAGCAGCUACCCAAUGUAAGACCCUGUUUCAAGCAACUUAUUGAUCUGAAAAGUUACCUGUGAAAAAAGAAAAAUCGUUUUAUUAAAGUAAAAUAUCGUUCUU